GCAGGGAAGAGGAAGAAAGAGAGCCUCUAAGAGCGAUGGGAAUAGGAACAUGGAGGAAAGCCUGAAGCUAAAUUUUCUCUGCGUUUUCCCGAUGCCUCCUAUUCCUACCGAUCUUAGGUACUCCUUCCUCUUCCUUUAAGCU
rnacentral:pre_miRNA from 1 species